rnacentral:rRNA from 1 species
UGGGGAUAUUGGACAAUGGGGGAGACCCUGAUCCAGCGACGCCGCGUGAGUGAAGAAGUAUCUCGGUAUGUAAAGCUCUAUCAGCAGGGAAGAAAGAAAUGACGGUACCUGAGUAAGAAGCCCGGCUAACUACGUGCCAGCAGCCGCGGUAAUACGUAGGGGCAGGCAGUAUCGAUUGAUCUGGGUGUAAAGGGAGCGUAGACGGACUGGCAAGUCUGAUGUGAAAACCCGGGGCUCAACCCGGACGUGCAUUGGAAACUGUCAGUCUAGAGUGUCGGAGGGGUAAGUGGAAUUCCUAGUGUAGCGGUGAAAUGCGUAGAUAUUAGGAGGAACACCAGUGGCGAAGGCGGCUUACUGGACGGUAACUGACGUUGAGGCUCGAAAGCGUGGGGAGCAAACAGGAUUAGAUACC